rnacentral:rRNA from 1 species
GUCUACAGCAAAGCCAACACGAACGUACCCGUUCAUGUCAGAUCUCAAAAGCUAAGCAAACUUGAGCCUGGUUAGUACUUUGGAUGGGGGGCUGCCUGAGAAUAACAGGUGCUGUAGGCU